AACUUUUUAUUUGAGAUUUUCAAGGAAAAAAAAAGAAUUGGUCUUAAUUUUCCAUUUAGGCAGUGGUGACGUGUGUGAGUGAAAGUCACAUGAUGGUCCUGAUUGACAACCAGCACUCAGGGAUAGGAGUCCUUUGUGUUUGCUGGCUUGGCUGUGCCCUCCACCUCUCCCCUCUCCAGGGUCUUGGCAAUGCCAGUGUUGGCAUUGACACCUGAGUCCAGUCCACUUGCCCAGUCAAAGGCAGUUCAUGUUUGCUUUCUCUUUGCCUCUUUAGAACUUUGCACAUGUAAACAGGCAUUUCUAUGAAACGAGAUACUGUAGACUGGCAUUUACCAAACAGGUGCAUCGUUUGCUAGCACGAGGCCUGUGUGUUGCAAUCUCAAACAUAUCAUAGGUCGACAUGAUCUGCUUUAAAUUCCUGUAUUCAUUAACAAACACGGACAUUUCUUCACUGUCCUGAGUUUGUCCGGUUUCAUGACAGUCCAUGGGAGCCUUAAGAAAAACUAAUAUUCACUAGAAAAGCUAACGGUUAAUGAUAAUUGCUGGAAAAGAAUAUAAACACCAUCAUUCCUCUCAAACGGCGGAACUUCAUCUGAAACAAUGGAGGUUCUUAAAGCUCUACCCUUCAUUGUUUUCUUCAGCUACAGUAAAUGUGAGUCUCUCCAAACAAGUUUACUACAUGCAGCCAGGCAGCAUGUCAGUGGGCAGGAUCACCUGGAGGAGAACUUAGGAGUCAGUGUCAGCAUUAUGGUGGCUCAGUUUCUUCAGGAUGCAGCUUAUGACCAAGUCCAAACCAUAGCUAAAGAGCUGCUGAAGCUUGCUGAAAAGUGUAAGCGUCUCAAACCUGAGUCACCCUCAGAGUGUGCUCAUCAACUGGUGGCUGCCUUCCUUAUACACAUUUGCAACAACCAAGGCCUGGUGGAUAGUCACGUGUUCACUGACUGUUGUAAGAUGAAAACUGCAGCAAGACUCAGGUGCUUCCUCUCCUACAAGAAAGACGACGCAGACAGCCAUGAUACACCCCUGAUUCCAAGGCCUGAACUGACCUGUGAGGUGGCUGCAGAGAAUAAUGUGUCCCUGAAGGAGAGGUUCAGCUAUGAAAUAUCUAGAAGACACCCAUUCUUAUACGGACCCACUAUCUUGAGCAUGUCUGCUUGCUAUGAUACAGCUGUUCAGUCAUGUUGUCAAGAAGAGAAUGAAACAGAGUGCCUGCGGACAAAGCUAGAACCCAUCAGAAAAUACAUUAGAGGAAUAUCUGCAAGACAUCAUCACUUAUGUGAAAUUGGCACCAAAUUCAACGAGAAAGUAGCAAGUGCAGUAGAGUUGAUUCUACUCACCAAAAAGCAACCUAAAGCUAAUUUUUCUGAAAUCGCCAAAUUGACCAUGGAUGUUAAAAAUCUGCAUGAGACCUGUUGUGAGGGGAACACAUUAGUGUGUGCCCUGGGCAGGCGCCAGCUUAUGAAUUACACCUGCUCUAACCAGGCCAUCUUAUCCAGCAAGUUUGCUGAGUGCUGUGAACAGCCAGAACCAUUCCGCGGGGAGUGCAUCGUCAACUCAGAAAAUGACGACAAGCCUGACCUUUCACCCCUGCCGCUCACAAGGUUUACAGAAGACUGGUCUGUGUGCCAACAAUUCAGCGGCAACCAGGACAGCUUUCUACAGGAGUUUCUUUAUGAAUACUCAAGAAGACACCUGGAGUUGGCGGUUCCCGUGAUCUUAAGAGUCUUUGAAACAUACAAACGUGUAUUGGAGAAAUGUUGCAAGCUAGAAAACUCCUUGGAAUGCCACCAGCCUGGGAAAGAGAUGUUCCAAAAAGUGAUACUUGAAAGCCGUGACCAAGUUAAAACUUACUGUGACUUACAGAAGCAGCUGGGCAGUAGCAGCUUCCAGGACAGGUGUGCUCGCCAGACACCCCAGACUCAUCCUCAUCAGAGACUGUUGGUUAGUCCCUGAUGCUAAGAUUGGCUCAGAGUGUUCAUCCACCCAUUAAUUGAGUAUUAACCAGCCCUCUGUGCUGAUUCAACAGAUAUUUAGGCUCACGGUGCUUUAUACUAAGAAAGCUCCGCAGCUGUCUGCCCAGGAGCUGGUGGUGUUCGUGAAGAAGAUGGCAGCGGUUGCCAGGAGAUGUUGCCCAUUAAGGGAUGAGCUGCAGUCCGCUUGCGUGGAGGACCAGACAAAGCUGAUUCUUGGAGAGCUGUGCAGAAGACACGGUGGGAAGCCUGUCAAUGCAGGAGUGGGCCACUGCUGCGACGACUCCUAUGCCUUCAGAAAGCCGUGCUUUGAUGACCUGCGAGUCGAUGGCACUUACAUCUCUCCACCUUUAUCUUGUGACCAAGCCAUUAGUCUUAAAGAGGACUUGUGCCAAGCUCAGGACGAGGAACUGCAAAUGGAAAAGCAGAAGCUCCUCAGCACCCUGGUGAAGCAGAAGCCCCAUGCAGCAGAGGAUGUGUUCCAUUCCAUUGGCGAGAAUUUUGUGCAACUGGUGGAGAAGUGCUGCGGUGCACAGAGGAGAGACGUGUGUUUUCAAGAAGAGGGACCUCAACUGAUCACGAAGUGCCAGUCCCUCUUAGAGGCCAGCUCAUCCCAGAGCGGGUUGAUGUAGGAUCAUGGCUGAGAUCAGCGCUGUGGAAGGGGGCAGCUGACAGAGAGCCUUCGCAUUGGCUCAGCGCUGUUGCAGAACACUGGCCGGUCCACACCACCUUCCCUUUCCCCUCAGCAGAUGCCAUACGGACUCCCAGAUCAGCCCCGCUCAGAGCUCUCCCACCUCACGGCCUGCCUCUCAAGGGCAGAGACAAGAACCUAAAGAACAUUCAAGGCCUCCAGACAGUUUAAUGUGCGGCCACACUUCUCUGGGAACUGCUGCUGGGCCCCACAGUGGAGGCUUCAAGGUUGACAUGGAGCAGUCUGUACCACUUCUAAGAGGGAAAGGCACAAAUAAAGUUAUCUUCAUGCCUGGGCUCUGGCUCCUGGCUCUCCUGGGUGUAUUCAAAGCUGACUUUGCCAGCAAUGGCACCCAACACAUUUAUAUGAAUUUGAGCAGUAAAUUGUACUGAAAAUGACACAACGGAUUUAUAAUUGGGACUUUAAUUUUUUUCUGAUUUUAAAUAUUAAUUUAAUUAUGUAAAUUAAUAAUAACAAUGUACUAAUAUUAAUAACAUCAGCAGUAAUAGUUUAGUA